rnacentral:rRNA from 1 species
UACGGGGGGGCAAGGCAGUUGUUCGGAAUUACUGGGCGUAAAGGGCUCGUAGGCGGCCAACUAAGUCAGACGUGAAAUCCCUCGGCUUAACUGGGGAGGGUCAUUCGAUACUGAUCGACUCGAAGGCAGGAGAGGGAAGUGGAAUUCCCGGUGUAGUGGUGAAAUGCGUAGAUAUCGGGAGGAACACCAGUGGCGAAGGCGACUUCCUGGCCUGUUCUUGACGCUGAGGCGCGAAAGCUAGGGGAGCAAACGGG